rnacentral:tRNA from 1 species
UCCCAGGUGAUCCAGUGGUUUAGAUUCUGCACUUCCAAUGCAGGGGUCGUGGGUUCCAUCCCUGGUCAGGGAA